rnacentral:rRNA from 1 species
GACGAACGCUGGCGGCGUGCUUAACACAUGCAAGUCGAGCGGUAAGGCCCUUUCGGGGUACGACGAGCGGCGAACGGGUGAGUAACACGUGGGUGACCUGCCCUCAGCUCUGGGAUAAGCCUGGGAAACUGGGUCUAAUACCGGAUAUGACCCCACUGACGCAUGUCGUGGGGUGGAAAGCCUUGUGCGGCUGAGGAUGGGCCCGCGGCCUAUCAGCUUGUUGGUGGGGUGAUGGCCUACCAAGGCGACGACGGGUAGCCGGCCUGAGAGGGCGACCGGCCACACUGGGACUNAGGACACGGCCCAGACUCCUACGGGAGGCAGCAGUGGGGAAUCUUGCGCAAUGGGGCAAAG